AACGAACGCUGGCGGCAUGCCUAACACAUGCAAGUCGAACGAGACCUUCGGGCCUAGUGUCCCACUGGUGCGUAACGUGUCGGAACCUCCCCCUAGGUUCGGACUAACUCCUCGACAGGGGUGCUAAUACCGGUUAAUGUCUUCGGACAAAAGUAUUAUCGCCUUGGGUUGUGCCGGCGUUGGAUUAGCUUGUUGGUAGGGUAACAGCCUACCAAGGCGACGAUUCAUAGCUGGUCUGAGAGGAUGAUCAGCCACACUGGGACUGCGACACGGCCCAGACUCCUACGGGAGGCAGCAGUGGGGAAUAUUGGACAAUGGGCGAAGGCCUGAUCCAGCAAUGCCGCGUGAGUGAUGAAGGCCUUAGGGUUGUAAAGCUCUUUUACCCGGGAUGAUAAUGACGGUACCGGGAGAAUAAGCUCCGGCUAACUACGUG
rnacentral:rRNA from 1 species